UGGGGAAUAUUGCGCAAUGGGCGAAAGCCUGACGCAGCAACGCCGCGUGAGGGAUGAAGGUUUUCGGAUCGUAAACCUCUGUCAGAAGGGAAGAAACUACGUUGUGCUAAUCAGCAGCGUACUGACGGUACCUUCAAAGGAAGCACCGGCUAACUCCGUGCCAGCAGCCGCGGUAAUACGGAGGGUACAAGCGUUAAUCGGAAUUACUGGGCGUAAAGCGCACGUAGGCUGUAGUGUAAGUCAGGGGUGAAAUCCCACGGCUCAACCGUGGAACUGCCUUUGAUACUGCACAACUUGAAUCCGGGAGAGGGUGGCGGAAUUCCAGGUGUAGGAGUGAAAUCCGUAGAUAUCUGGAGGAACAUCAGUGGCGAAGGCGGCCACCUGGACCGGUAUUGACGCUGAGGUGCGAAAGCGUGGGGAGCAAACAG
rnacentral:rRNA from 1 species